GAUGAACGCUGGCGGCGUGCCUAAUAAAUGCAAGUCGUGCGAACAGACGAGGAGCUUGCUCCUCUGACGUUAGCGGCGGACGGGUGAGUAACACGUGGAUAACCUACCUAUAAGACUGGGAUAACUUCGGGAAACCGGAGCUAAUACCGGAUAAUAUAUUGAACCGCAUGGUUCAAUAGUGAAAGACGGUUUUGCUGUCACUUAUAGAUGGAUCCGCGCCGCAUUAGCUAGUUGGUAAGGUAACGGCUUACCAAGGCAACGAUGCGUAGCCGACCUGAGAGGGUGAGCGGCCACACUGGAACUGAGACACGGUCCAGACUCCUACGGGAGGCAGCAGUAGGGAAUCUUCCGCAAUGGGCGAAAGCCGGACGGAGCAACGCCGCGUGAUUGAUGAAGGUCUUCGGAUCGUAAAACUCUGUUAUUAGGGAAGAACAAAUGUGUAAGUAACUAUGCACGUCUUGACGGUACCUAAUCAGAAAGCCACGGCUAACUACGUG
rnacentral:rRNA from 1 species